UCCAACUAAUUUAAUUAAGUAUGGACUCCAGACUGGAUAUGAACAUCCCUAAAUUGGGAUAAGAUGUUCUAUGUGCUAAAGACAAAUGAUGAAAGCAAUUGUCGUUCAGAUUUAUAUUGCGUCCUGGGGACGGCAAAGAGGAACUGAAAGAAAUUGUUCCGUCAAGAUAGUGUUGAUCAACACAGAAUACCCUUGAAUUAGGAAUUCUGUUUGCGCGAAAUAGCGG
rnacentral:lncRNA from 1 species